GACGAACCGAGCGAACGUUGUUCGGAAUCACUGGGCUUAAGGGGCGCGUAGGCGGGCAAGCAAGUCCGGGGUGAAAGCUUUCGGCUCAACCGGAAAAGGGCCUUGGAUACUGCUUGUCUGGAGGGAGGUAGGGGCCCGUGGAACUUCCGGUGGAGCGGUGAAAUGCGUUGAUAUCGGAAGGAACGCCGGUGGCGAAAGCGACGGGCUGGAUCUCUACUGACGCUGAGGCGCGAAAGCCAGGGGAGCAAACGGG
rnacentral:rRNA from 1 species